rnacentral:tRNA from 1 species
GCCGAGAUGGCGGAACAGGCAGACGCGCUAGCUUCAGGAGCUAGUGGGGGAAACCCCGUGGGGGUUCAACUCCCCCUCUCGGCA